AAAACCCUAGGUUUCGCCCCCUAGUUUAACCUAGCUAUAAAUAUUAUUUUUACUCCUAUUUGUCAAAAUUUUCCCACUUUCUGCUUCCCCUUGUUGUCCCCUACAUUUUCCCUUACUGUUUCUCUAAUUUUUUCUUCCUUUUCUUCCUCUUUGUGUUGCCCCAUUAAUCAUCAACUUCCCUUGCCUCGUAUUUUAUUUUGCUGCUAUCUUUUUAUUGCCAUUAUCUCACCCUUGUAGCCUAUUUUCUCCUCCAUUUUUGUCGUCCCAGUAAGCCACCAUCUUUGCCACCCUUUUGAUUCUCUUCCUCUACUCUUCGUUAUUUCUUUUGUCGUCACGGUU
rnacentral:lncRNA from 1 species